AGAUACUUAAUAUCACUGUCCAUGUUAGACUGAAGACUAUGAAAUAUGUACUGUGCUAUAUGAGUGGGUCAGAAUCGUAGUGGCGUAAGGACAAUCGACUUUAAUGAUGAUUUGAUGAACGCGAAAUUAACGACAUAAAUGAAAGUAAGGAAGUCACAUGUACUUUUCGAUGCAAAGAUCAAGGAUCGAUCAUCUAUGAAAAAAUGAACCAUUUUAAUGGCGGAACAACGAAAUUCCGAGAUGUGGGACAGUAAAUAGAAGUUUUGUUACAAGUAGUAACAGCAUCAACUUAUGAGAUAUCGUCUAUUGAGUCUUCACAAUUACUCCACACGUCUCCCCGUGCUUGCGUACACACAGACAGAUCUAACGAAAUGCCCGAAACCAAUGAAACUCUGAAACGUACCGGUCGACAAGCUGAAAAACA